rnacentral:misc_RNA from 1 species
GAUGAAGAACGCAGCGAAAUGCGAUAAGUAGUGUGAAUUGCAGAAUUCAGUGAAUCAUCGAAUCUUUGAACGCACAUUGCGCCCCUUGGUAUUCCAUGGGUCAUGCCUGUUCGAGCGUCAUUUGUACCUUCAAGCUUUGCUUGGUGUUGGGUGUUUGUCUCGCCUUUGCGUGUAGACUCGCCUUAAAAUAAUUGGCAGCCGGCGUAUUGAUUUCGGAGCGCAGUACAUCUCGCGCUUUGCACUCAUAACGACAGCGUCCAAAAGUACAUUUUACACUCUUGACCUCGGAUCAGGUAGGGAUACCCGCUGAACUUAAGCAUAUCAAUAAGCGGAGGA